UGGGAGCACCCAAACACAGGGCAAACCAAGCAGCCACAGAAACACCACAUGGACUGGUGUCCAUGGGGCCAGGGACCAGGCAUGACUUGCAAUGGCACUGACCAUUUUCUUACUAGGAACCCACUCUUAUAAGUAAGGAAAGGAAAAAGGUGCUUCUCAGGUCACAGUAAGGAAUAGAUCAAGUCAGGAAAGAAGAAAUCCUUGAAAGAGCUGCAAGUUCUUAAUUGCCACUGAGGUCCGAGGCAGCUGAGAUAUUCAGCAGACUCUGCAUUUCUGCCCCUUAGAAUUAGGGUGCAGGGCAGUGGAGGAAGAAGGGAAAAACCACAGAUGCUGACCUUUCAGAGAUAAGCUGGAGGUGUGGGGAG